rnacentral:rRNA from 1 species
AUUGAACGCUGGCGGCAGGCCUAACACAUGCAAGUCGAGCGGAUGAAGGGAGCUUGCUCCUGGAUUCAGCGGCGGACGGGUGAGUAAUGCCUAGGAAUCUGCCUGGUAGUGGGGGAUAACGUCCGGAAACGGGCGCUAAUACCGCAUACGUCCUGAGGGAGAAAGUGGGGGAUCUUCGGGCCUCACGCUAUCAGAUGAGCCUAGGCCGGAUUAGCUAGUUGGUGGGGUAAAGGCCUACCAAGGCGACGAUCCGUAACUGGUCUGAGAGGAUGAUCAGUCACACUGGAACUGAGACACGGUCCAGACUCCUACGGGAGGCAGCAGUGGGGAAUAUUGGACAAUGGGCGAAAGCCUGAUCCAGCCAUGCCGCGUGUGUGAAGAAGGUCUUCGGAUUGUAAAGCACUUUAAGUUGGGAGGAAGGGCAGUAAGUUAAUACCUUGCUGUUUUGACGUUACCAACAGAAUAAGCACCGGCUAACUUCGUG